UAGGGAAUCUUCGGCAAUGGACGGAAGUCUGACCGAGCAACGCCGCGUGAGUGAAGAAGGUUUUCGGAUCGUAAAGCUCUGUUGUAAGAGAAGAACGAGUGUGAGAGUGGAAAGUUCACACUGUGACGGUAUCUUACCAGAAAGGGACGGCUAACUACGUGCCAGCAGCCGCGGUAAUACGUAGGUCCCGAGCGUUGUCCGGAUUUAUUGGGCGUAAAGCGAGCGCAGGCGGUUAGAUAAGUCUGAAGUUAAAGGCUGUGGCUUAACCAUAGUAGGCUUUGGAAACUGUUUAACUUGAGUGCAAGAGGGGAGAGUGGAAUUCCAUGUGUAGCGGUGAAAUGCGUAGAUAUAUGGAGGAACACCGGUGGCGAAAGCGGCUCUCUGGCUUGUAACUGACGCUGAGGCUCGAAAGCGUGGGGAGCAAACAGGAUUAGAUACCCUGGUAGUCCACGCUGUAAACGAUGAGUGCUAGGUGUUAGACCCUUUCCGGGGUUUAGUGCCGUAACUAACGCAUUAAGCACUCCGCCUGGGGAGUACGACCGCAAGGUUG
rnacentral:rRNA from 1 species